UCGCCGCCGCUCCGCGCCGCGCAGCCUCUGCGUCCCUGGCCGUCGGAACUCGUCACCGGCCGCCCCCGCCUUCCUCAGCAGCCGAGACGACCCGCGACCGGCCCCGAUACGGACCCUCACCCUCGCCGCGUCGAGCGCCGCCUGCUCUGCCAGUUUGGUGCCAGCGUCCCUGCGAUUCAAGGAAUAUAAUAUGCUGUCCUGAGGUUUGAGGUCUGUACCUUUUAGCUCAAUAUACAAGACUAAUUGUAUUUCGUCUGUUGUUGUCAGGAUUUGAUCUGUUACUCAUGGUUUGCUCUUCAUUAUCAGUGUUGUUGGUCACAAAACUUUGAUUCUUGACGUUUGCUUGCGCUCUAUCCCAGCUCUAUUCCCCCCUCCUGCUCUACUAUUGCCGCGCAAGGAAUCCUUGCAUCUCAUAUUGUUUGGACAGCACUACUCGAUCAUCAUCUAGAACCUUAGGUUUGGGGCUGGAAUACUAUCGAACAUUUUAAGCUCUGUUAUUUGAAUCAAGAUCCGUAUGCAAUGAGAAUGGAACUCUUGUUGUCGCAUUUUUUGAUAUAUCGAAAGUGCCAUCAAGAAUAUUUGUUGUCAAAGCGUUUCAUGACUUGUUCAAGGGCUGUGAGAAUGGAACUCAGGAAUUAGAGCUUUAGAGCACCUAUGGAAACCUUUAUGGGCAUUUCUUAUUCUGCAACUUUCACGUUCUUUUUUCUUACUGCUCAUAGACAAGUCCAGUCUCCAAAGGAGCUUGAAAUGUAAAUGUGAACAGAGUUAUGCUUGUAAUUCAUUUCUUUGUUAUAUAUCUCUUUAUCAUGUAAUUGUAUUUUGCUUAUUAUAUGAAUUAAUAAAGGUUUUUUACAAUA